rnacentral:rRNA from 1 species
GACGAACGCUGGCGGCGUGCUUAACACAUGCAAGUCGAACGGAAAGGCCCUGCUUUUGUGGGGUGCUCGAGUGGCGAACGGGUGAGUAACACGUGAGUAACCUGCCCUUGACUUUGGGAUAACUUCAGGAAACUGGGGCUAAUACCGGAUAGGAGCUCCUGCUGCAUGGUGGGGGUUGGAAAGUUUCGGCGGUUGGGGAUGGACUCGCGGCUUAUCAGCUUGUUGGUGGGGUAGUGGCUUACCAAGGCUUUGACGGGUAGCCGGCCUGAGAGGGUGACCGGCCACAUUGGGACUGAGAUACGGCCCAGACUCCUACGGGAGGCAGCAGUGGGGAAUAUUGCACAAUGGGCGGAAGCCCGAUGCAGCAACGCCGCGUGCGGGAUGACGGCCUUCGGGUUGUAAACCGCUUUCGCCUGUGACGAAGCGUGAGUGACGGUAAUGGGUAAAGAAGCACCGGCUAACUACGUGCCAGCAGCCGCGGUGAUACGUAGGGUGCGAGCGUUGUCCGGAUUUAUUGGGCGUAAAGGGCUCGUAGGUGGUUGAUCGCGUCGGAAGUGUAAUCUUGGGGCUUAACCCUGAGCGUGCUUUCGAUACGGGUUGACUUGAGGAAGGUAGGGGAGAAUGGAAUUCCUGGUGGAGCGGUGGAAUGCGCAGAUAUCAGGAGGAACACCAGUGGCGAAGGCGGUUCUCUGGGCCUUUCCUGACGCUGAGGAGCGAAAGCGUGGGGAGCGAACAGGCUUAGAUACCCUGGUAGUCCACGCUGUAAACGGUGGGUACUAGGUGUGGGGUCCAUUCCACGGGUUCCGUGCCGUAGCUAACGCUUUAAGUACCCCGCCUGGGGAGUACGGCCGCAAGGCUAAAACUCAAAGGAAUUGACGGGGCCCCGCACAAGCGGCGGAGCAUGCGGAUUAAUUCGAUGCAACGCGUAGAACCUUACCUGGGGUUGACAUGGAUCGGGAGCGCUCAGAGAUGGGUGUGCCUCUUUUGGGGUCGGUUCACAGGUGGUGCAUGGCUGUCGUCAGCUCGUGUCGUGAGAUGUUGGGUUAAGUCCCGCAACGAGCGCAACCCUUGUUCACUGUUGCCAGCACGUUAUGGUGGGGACUCAGUGGAGACCGCCGGGGUCAACUCGGAGGAAGGUGGGGAUGACGUCAAGUCAUCAUGCCCCUUAUGUCCAGGGCUUCACGCAUGCUACAAUGGCUGGUACAGAGAGUGGCGAGCCUGUGAGGGUGAGCGAAUCUCGGAAAGCCGGUCUCAGUUCGGAUUGGGGUCUGCAACUCGACCUCAUGAAGUCGGAGUCGCUAGUAAUCGCAGAUCAGCAACGCUGCGGUGAAUACGUUCCCGGG